GAGUUAUAUAUUGUACAUUUAUACAGUAUUUACUUUUUUCAUAGGCACUCAUAAAUGCCCUGGCUGUCUCCUGGCUGGGAGAUCUCCUCACAGGAGGCUGAGCCGUUCUUCCUUUCUGGUCUGGAUUAUCAUUGCAGAGUUGAAGCCAUUCCUGCAGCAACUGGUGGAAAACGGGAUCUUUUUGGUGCUUUUGUUCUAGCAUAAUAAUUUUGUUCUUUCGUAUAAUAUGAAUAAAUACAUAUGUAGGCCUAUAUAAAUAAAUUCAUGCUUGAAUCAUU